UGCACAAGAGUAAAGGUAUGUGAAUUACAGACUCCAACUUCAGAAACUGCAGAGAGAAAACUGUAGGAGAAAAGAGCCCUGUCCAGACAGGCUGGCAUAUUGUACUAGUAUGCAAAAGUAAUCUACCCAGCAAUGAAAAACAUUGACUUAUAUGAAUGAGAUCAUUUGACUAUACAUGCAAACUGCCCCAAACUCCGGAUGUCAAGUACAGGCAUAAACCUUCUUGAGAAUAAUUCCUGGUGUUCAGAGCCGGCAUGUUAUACAUGAACUGAUUCAUUUGCUGAACAAGAGGAUAAAUCACAGAACAAAGAAACAGGGCUGAACCAGCCGAAAAUGACAUGACAUUACAAUAAGCACAUAUAUACAUUUCACCAAUAAUCAACUAAGGGUACCAGAAGAAGCAGUGGAAGACAUAACAGAUAACUCCUCCUGAAGAAAGGGUUCCAUUCCGUGAAACUAGUUGAGGAAAGACCUGUCUAUCUCCACUUCAACAGUGGUUAUUUUAUUUUUAUUUUUUUUGUUUCUGUGUG